rnacentral:tRNA from 1 species
GCCUGGCUGGCUCAUCGAUAGAGCGUGUGACUCUGGAUCUUGGGGUUGUGAGUUCGAGCCCCAUGUUAGGUG